UCCGAAUUGGUGUAGUGGCUAACAUUUGACGCUCUCAUCAUAUGACCUAUGACCCGUCAAGCCCGGGGUUCGAUUCCCCGAUUCGGAG